GAACAGAUUUCAUCCUAGUUCCUUCUUUCGGGUUCUAAUGCCCAAGCUGGCUUCUUUCUUCACACCACAGACAACAGCAUUUUUACUUCUUUAAUAUCCGGUUUACUUGGUGGGGGCCUACCUGGGGAACUUCAUUGGGUCUUCCCCUUCCCAUGUAUGCAUGCCAAGAACAGGCUCGGGGCCACCCCAUGAAGCCCCCAAGUCAAGUUCUCGUGUUCCUCUGAAAAUCAUGAAGAGGGCAAUGAGGAGGCCAUACCCCAGAAGAUAGACAAACCAGCAGCUGAACCAACCAGGAGAUGAGGAGGCCUCUCUCUCUCUCUCUCUCUCUCUCUCAUACAUAAACAGUGUGAUGAGGGAUUGCAGAACAACCACCUUAGUACAGUCCCCUAUUAUAAGUCAUAUGGGUGGAACAGCAAGCAUCAACCAUGAUGAAUCGAUGGUUUUCAAAAAGGGCUCAAACAUGAACGAUCUACACCAAGAUAGAUCAUGAAAGAGAAUCGAUGAUUUUAAGAUAAUUAAUAUAUUUCUUGGUUGCAAGGGUGACAAUGCACAAUAUUUGCCGUCAAUAAAGUUCUACACAGAUAUUCAACAUGACAUGUCCUGACACACUAUGGGCAUUACUCAUCUAAUGAAUGUUACUUAAAGCUUAUCAAAUAAGUUUAACAGAGGACAAAGUGGAUACAAGAGCAAGAGAGAGAUCAAAAAUCUGUACGCAUACUUCCUAACUUCACCCAUCUCUGUUCCUUAUUUCUUGUCAAAUACAUACAAGAAGGGAGAAGAAGAAGAAAGGAAAGCACACACUACCUAACUGGCGAGAGAGAGUGGGUUAAAGAAUUAAAAAAAUCCUCAAUGUACAAAAGGAUGAAGAAAGAUUAGAUACGAUCCGAUAACAUAGUUUCACCAGAUCUUCCUCCGAGUAACAGGGUUAAAAAUAAACUUUGAAAGAUCAGCACAUCCGCCAGCAAAUUAUGAAGAAGAGAUGGAAUGCGACGAGCAGAUGAGGAGUUUAUUGAACACUCUAUAAUCAGUAGCACGAUACAAACUGAGAUCAAAUGCCAGAUGUUGGGGGA
rnacentral:lncRNA from 1 species